rnacentral:lncRNA from 1 species
CAUGGAAUGCGUCACAACACAAACAUUUCACAUCACGGAUGGACAUGACCACCAAAACUCCCUCUGUCUGUGCCCGGCCCUCAAAGGAGCUCCUCAAGACUUCUGUAACAUACAUGGUGCCCGGCCCUUCGGGCUCCUCAGGACUUCAUUAACAUAUCAUAUCUAGGGCUAUUGGGGUCGCCUUGGUCCAUCCACAUCAACAAUAAAUUAUGCAAUGCAGCAUAUUCGUGAUUUCUAAUGCAAGCAACCUACUACAUAUACA